rnacentral:rRNA from 1 species
GAUGAACGCUGGCGGCGUGCCUAAUACAUGCAAGUCGAGCGAACAGAUAAGGAGCUUGCUCCUUUGAAGUUAGCGGCGGACGGGUGAGUAACACGUGGGUAACCUACCUAUAAGACUGGGAUAACUUCGGGAAACCGGAGCUAAUACCGGAUAACAUUUAGAACCGCAUGGUUCUAUAGUGAAAGAUGGUUUUGCUAUCACUUAUAGAUGGAUCCGCGCCGUAUUAGCUAGUUGGUAAGGUAACGGCUUACCAAGGCGACGAUGCGUAGCCGACCUGAGAGGGUGAUCGGCCACACUGGAACUGAGACACGGUCCAGACUCCUACGGGAGGCAGCAGUAGGGAAUCUUCCGCAAUGGGCGAAAGCCUGACGGAGCAACGCCGCGUGAGUGAUGAAGGGUUUCGGCUCGUAAAACUCUGUUAUUAGGGAAGAACAAAUGUGUAAGUAACUGUGCACAUCUUGACGGUACCUAAUCAGAAAGCCACGGCUAACUACGUG